CCUACACGCGGCAACGCCGCGUGGGGGAUGAAGCUUCUCGGAGUGUAAACUCCUUUCGACCGGGACGAUUAUGACGGUACCGGUGGAAGAAGCCCCGGCUAACUCCGUGCCAGCAGCCGCGGUAAUACGGGGGGGGCAAGCGUUGUUCGGAAUUAUUGGGCGUAAAGGGCGCGUAGGCGGUGCGGUAAGUCACCUGUGAAAUCUCCGGGCUCAACUCGGAGCCUGCAGGCGAAACUGCCGUGCUGGAGGGUGGCAGAGGGGAGAUCGGAAUUCCUGGUGUAGCGGUGAAAUGCGCAGAUAUCAGGAGGAACACCGGUGGCGAAGGCGGAUCUCUGGGCCUUACCUGACGCUCAGGUGCGAAAGCUAGGGGAGCGAACAGGAUUAGAUACCCUGGUAGUCCUAGCUGUAAACGAUGAGUACUGGGUAGGGUUGGUCCAAUGCCAGCCCUGCCGGAGCAAAUGUGUUAAGUACUCCGCCUGGGGAGUAUGGUCGCAAGGCUAAAACUUAAAGGAAUUGACG
rnacentral:rRNA from 1 species